UAAAAAUUUCCGCGAGCA
rnacentral:tRNA from 1 species